rnacentral:misc_RNA from 1 species
UCCGGCUUAUCACCGGCAGUCCCUUUAGAGUGCCCAACUAAAUGAUGGCAACUAAAGGCGAGGGUUGCGCUCGUUGCGGGACUUAACCCAACAUCUCACGACACGAGCUGACGACAGCCAUGCAGCACCUGUGUUACGGUUCCCUUUCGGGCACUCUUCCAUCUCUGGAAGAUUCCGUACAAGUCAAGGGUAGGUAAGGUUUUUCGCGUUGCAUCGAAUUAAUCCACAUAAUCCACCGCUUGUGCGGGUCCCCGUCAAUUCCUUUGAGUUUUAACCUUGCGACCAUACUCCCCAGGCGGAGCACUUAACACUUUUGCUUCGACUGUAAACCCAUGACUAGUCUACAAUCUAGUGCUCAUCGUUUAGGGCUAGGACUAC